rnacentral:rRNA from 1 species
AGUGAACGCUGGCGGCAGGCCUAACACAUGCAAGUCGAACGGCAGCACAGCAGUAGCAAUACUGUGGGUGGCGAGUGGCGGACGGGUGAGGAAUACAUCGGAAUCUGCCUAGUUGUGGGGGAUAACGUAGGGAAACUUACGCUAAUACCGCAUACGACCUACGGGUGAAAGCGGGGGAUCGCAAGACCUCGCGCGAUUAGAUGAGCCGAUGUCCGAUUAGCUAGUUGGCGGGGUAAUGGCCCACCAAGGCGACGAUCGGUAGCUGGUCUGAGAGGAUGAUCAGCCACACUGGAACUGAGACACGGUCCAGACUCCUACGGGAGGCAGCAGUGGGGAAUAUUGGACAAUGGGCGCAAGCCUGAUCCAGCCAUGCCGCGUGGGUGAAGAAGG